rnacentral:rRNA from 1 species
AUGGCUGAGCAUGCAACCGCCCUGCUGCUCCCCUUCGGUUCCUACCGCCUCGGCGUCCAUGGCCGCCGCUCCGACAUCGACGCCCUUGUUGUCGGGCCCGCCUAUGUGGACCGCCACCACGACUUCUUCGACGUGCUUGGCUGCGUGCUGGCCGAGACCGAGGCGGUGACGGAGCUGCAGCUGGUUCCCGGUGCGUACGUGCCGGUCAUCAAGAUGAGGUUCCGCGGCGUGCAGGUGGACCUCCUCUACGCCAGCGUCUGCCUCGACCUGGACCUGCGCGGCCGCUCCGUGCUCUGCGGCCUGGACAUGGCCACCGUCCGCAGCCUCAACGGCGUCCGCGUCGCCGACGAGAUCCUGCGGCUGGUCCCGGACGCCGGCGCCUUCCGCACGAAGCUGCGCUGCGUGAAGCAUUGGGCCAAGGCGAGGGGCAUCUACUCCUACGCCAUGGGCUUCGUCGGCGGCGUGGGGUGGGCCAUCCUCGUGGCGCGCGUGUGCCAGCUCUACCCCAACGCCGCGCCCAGCAUGCUGGUGCCGCGCUUCUUCCGGAUCUUCUCGCAGUGGAAGUGGCCCAACCCGGUGAUGCUGCGGGAGAUCGAGCACGACGACGACGGCGGCGAGAUGCCGCUUGGGCUCCCCGUGUGGGACCCGAGGAGGAACCCCCGCGACGGGAGCCACCUCAUGCCCGUCAUCACGCCGGCAUACCCCUGCAUGAACUCGUGCUACAACGUCUCCCGCGCCACCCUGCGAACCAUGACAGCGGAGUUCGAGGCGGCGCACAAGGUUUGCCAGGAGAUCGCCGUGGCCGGCGCGUGGGACGCGCUGUUCAGGCCGUUCAAUUUCUUCAAGGCGUACAAGAGCUACCUGCGGGUGGACGUGAAGGUGGCCAGCGGGGAGGAGGAUCUCCGGGAGUGGAAGGGGUGGGUGGAGUCGCGGCUGAGGCAGCUGGUGGUCAGGGUCGAGAUGGCCACGGCCGGCAUGCUGCUCUGCCAUCCGCACCCGCACGCCUACGCCGAUGAUGAUGAUCGGCGGCGCGUGUCCUUCUUCGUGAGACUGUCCAAGCCAGCACCGUCGCCACAGCAACCGCAGCAGCCGCCGCAGUUCGACCUUCGCCUGACGACGCAGGAGUUCAAGGACGAGGUGUACACGUACGCGUUCUGGAGGCCUGGCAUGGAGCUGAACGUCUCGCACACCCGAAGGAAGGACCUGCCGCCCUAUGUGCUGGAGCAGAUUAACUCCACUGAUCGUCUCAAGAGGAAGCGCUCCGACGAUGAUUCCGGCAACCCCGAGUCGAGCCCGACCGUCAAGAGGGCGGCGGCAGCAGGCAGAAUCGGGUCUUCAUCAGAGAGCGAGACUUGA